CUCCUUACUUCUAUUGUAGCCUUCAAAUCUCUCCACCUUCUUCUCUAAACCCAAGUAAACUCAAACCCCUGUGCUUCUACGCGGCCUCCAAGGCGAGCAACUCCACUGCCAAGGUUUAUCGCCGCCAGAAACACAAAAACCCUCUAAAUGAAAGGAAAUUUAACAAUAAUGAUCAAAAUGAUGAUGACCNNNNNNNNNUGCGUGGAAACUCCUCAAUUGUCCUUCCAACCGUUGAUUUGAUGAGUUUGUGCAAGCAAGG
rnacentral:misc_RNA from 1 species